rnacentral:rRNA from 4 species
AGACCCGAAACCCGGUGAUCUAGCCAUGGGCAGGUUGAAGGUUGGGUAACACUAACUGGAGGACCGAACCGACUAAUGUUGAAAAAUUAGCGGAUGACCUGUGGCUGGGGGUGAAAGGCCAAUCAAACCGGGAGAUAGCUGGUUCUCCCCGAAAGCUAUUUAGGUAGCGCCUCGUGAAUUCAUCUCCGGGGGUAGAGCACUGUUUCGGCUAGGGGGCCAUCCCGGCUUACCAACCCGAUGCAAACUGCGAAUACCGGAGAAUGUUAUCACGGGAGACACACGGCGGGUGCUAACGUCCGUCGUGAAGAGGGAAACAACCCAGACCGCCAGCUAAGGUCCCAAAGUCAUGGUUAAGUGGGAAACGAUGUGGGAAGGCCCAGACAGCCAGGAUGUUGGCUUAGAAGCAGCCAUCAUUUAAAGAAAGCGUAAUAGCUCACUGGUCGAGUCGGCCUGCGCGGAAGAUGUAACGGGGCUAAACCAUGCACCGAAGCUGCGGCAGCGACACUGUGUGUUGUUGGGUAGGGGAGCG